CCAGCUCAGGGAACAGCCCAGCCAUUCUACCCCUACCAAGGACUGAGGCUCUGUGUUUCUUUCCCCCCCAGAUAACGUUCAUCCCUGUGGAUCUUGAGGCCGAGCGGUUCCUGGACCACAAACCCAUGGUGCUGCCGGAGAGGGAUGCCCGCUUGAUUACACCCUGCCCCAACCAAGAGGCCACCAGCACCUACGAGAAAAGCUUGCCAUCCUACGAGCAGAUCCAGAGGCAGGAGGUGGGCUUGGACUCACUCCCACCCACGGGCCAGCCCAGACCCCGCAGCUGCUCCCAACUGGCCGUGCAGGCGAAAGCAGAGGUCCACCGAGAGAUGGGGGGUGAUGGAGAACCCCCCCCAGACCUGGCACCGGCAGCAGGCAGCUGCCCCCCCCGGCCAGCCCUGGGGGACGCGCCGCUGGCGUCGCUCCUGGAGGAUAUGGACACACCAUCGCUGGAGGGCUCCGCGCCUGGCAGCCCCCUGCCACGGGGUCGACACCCUCCACCAUCCACCGCCCGCCCCGGCUCUCCAGCGGGGAGACAGCAGCCCAGUUCCUCCCGCAAAGGCGCUGGGGAGGAGGAUGACCUUUAUUAUGGGCUCCAAGAGGGGCCUGAUGCUUUGCUCGAGGAUAGCGACUGCCUGUUUGAGCCCGAAAACUGAUUUCCCAGAGAGAACGGCCGCUUGGCAUGGACUCAGCUUGUGGAGGGGACGCAAAGGUCGCAGCCUGGAAGAGAAGGGGCUGGGACUGACCCCUGAAGGCGCAGGGUCUGCGGCGUGGAGGAGCCCUCAGGGUCCUGCCUGUCCCCUGCGCCAUGCGCCCACCCAGCCGCAGGAGAGUCUGCCGCCCCACAAAACCCGAGGAGAGCCCUGCCACGUCCUGAAUUUCUGCAACUGAGGGGACAAGGCUCCCCCUCACCAGAGCCCGUUGGGUGGGUGCAGAUAAGUCCAAAUGCUGGGCUGGGCAGAAUCCAGGCUCAAUAAUGAGCUUAGGAAGGGAAAAGAUGAGCUUUGCUGCUUGAAACAGGAACAGCGUUUAGGUAGGUAAAGAUGUAUUCACCCACCUUUCCAAGGCAGAGAUGUCUGCAAAGCCUUUUUCCCACUUACCAAAGCCCCCGUGGAAUUAAAAUGAGAUCCUGGUACUCCGGCAGCAGGCAGCCUUCAUGUCUCCAGGUUGGGAGAGGGGUGAUGGGGGCAGACAGACCGGCUGUCCCCCAUCUCCUGGACAAAUUUCCAGCGCCAGCAGGGACAGAGGAUGAGCUGAAACCCUGGUGACAGCUGUGGCUUCUCGAGGACCUGCUCAAGGUGGUGCUUUGGGGCAACAUUUUCUCUCUCUGCCAGGUUGGUGUCAACAGCCACAGCGCUACCGGUGGCUCUGCAUGCCAGAGCCCCCGUUCCCAAACUCCCUCUGAAUAAUAAGUGUUCGUUGAAGGCUCGUUGAUGGAGAUAAGCCUGGUUUGUCACCAUGACAGGGGCAACCCAGCAGCUUUUGAGCAGCCUCUUUGCAACAUGCAGAGACAGCAGCGCCGGCGGGAGCUGCUGCGACCUCCGCCUGCCCUUGGGCUGCUCGGGGCCGCAGGGAUCUCUGUGGCUGAGCCUUCCCGGGGUGGCUGCGUUCGGAUCAAAGCAUCAACGGAUCCAGCAGUGUGGGGAUGCUGAGAGUCCCUCUCCCUGUUUUGGGAAAGCUGGGCUGGAUGCUGCUUGGGCACCCGGCACGGCCCCAGGAGGCUGGAGGCACAAAUUUGUGCUCUUAUUUAUUGCUCAAAUGUAUGCUCUUAUUUAUUGUUCAAAUUUAUGCUCUUAUUUAUUGCUCUUCAACAAAUUUAUGGGGGUUGACCAACCCAAAAGCAGGGGGGGAGAUGUUCUCCGGCACCUGAGGGGGAUGGAGCAUGGAAACG
rnacentral:lncRNA from 1 species